GGGUUUGAUCAUGGCUCAGAUUGUAAUCAUUAUGACGUUUACACAUGCAAGUCGAACGGCAGCACGGACUUCGGUCUGGUGGCGAGUAUGGCGAACGGGUGAGUAAUGUAUCGGAACGCUCAGUAGUGGGGAUAACUACGCGAAAGCGUAGCUAAUACCGCACACCUUCGGGGAGGCCGGGACCUUCGGGCCUCGCACUAUUAGGAGCGGCCGAUAUCGGGAUUAGCUAGUUGGUGGGGUAACGGCUCACCAAGGCGACGAUCCGCUGGUCGAGAGGACGACCAGCCAGCUUAUCACCGGAGACACGGCCCAGACUCCUACGGGAGGCAGCAGUGUAAAAUUCUGACAAUGGGGAAACUCCUGAUCCGCGCCAUCCUGGGCGUAGGUGCGAUGAAGGCCUCGGGUUGUAAAGCACUUUCUUGGCAGAAAGAAACGGCACGGGAUACCCUGUAACUGAUUGCGCCUUAGCGGGGAGAAUGGGUUACCCAUGACCAUGCCAGCAGCCGUAAUACGUAGGGUGCAAGCGUUAAUCGGAAUUACUGGCGUAAAGCGUGCAAGGCAGGCGGUUCGGAAAGAAAGAUGGAAAUCCCAGAGCUGAAUCUUGAACCGCAUUUUUAAUCACUGAGCUAGAUGCGUCAGAGGGAGGUGGAAUUCCGCGUAGCAGUGAAAUGCGUAGAUAUGCGGGAGACACCGAUGGCGAAGGCAGCUCCUGGGAUAACACUGACGUCAUUAGCGUACGAAAGCGUGGGAGCAAACAGGAUUAGAUGACCUGCAGAACCACGCCCCAAACGCGAUGUCAACUAGCUGUUGGGGCCUUCGGCCUGCAGCAGCUAACGCGUGAAGUUAACGCCUGGGGAGCACGUGGUCGCAAGAUUAAAACUCAAAGGGACGACAGACCCGCAUAAGCGGUGGAUGAUGUGGAUUAAUUGAUGCAACGCGAAAACUCAUCUACUCCUUGAUGAUGUCUGAAUCCCGAAGAGACUUUGGGAGCCGCAAGAGAACCGGAACACAGGUGCCGUAUGGCUGUCGUCAGCUCGUGUCGUGAUAUGUUGGCGUUUGUCCCGCAACGAGCGCAACCUGUCAUUAGUUGCUACGAAAGCGCAUCAAUGACUGCCAGACAGCCCUGGAGAAGGCGGGGAUGACGGCCAAGCCUCGCUGGCCCUUAUGGUAGGGCUUCUCACACGUCAUACAAUGGCUGGGACAGAGGGUCGCCAACCCGAGGGGGAGCCAAUCCCAGAAACCCGAUCGUAGUCCGAUCGCAGUUCGCAACUCGACUGCGUGAAGUCGGAAUCGCUAGUAAUCGCGGAUCAGCAUGUCGCAGCAAUGAUGUUCCUGGUCCUGUACACACCGCCCGUCACGACCAUGGAGGCUUUACCAGGAGUGGUUAGCCUAACCGUAAGGAGGGCGAUUAACACGGUAUUCAUGACUGGUGAAGUCGCAACAAGGU
rnacentral:rRNA from 1 species